UUUCUUUUUGAGAAAAAAUUCUUGCUUAAUUAUCAUCACUUCAGCAGUCAUCAUCACUCAGCGAGCAGCAGAAAGGAAAAAUGGCGAUUUUGCCAACGCCAUUGCACAUUACAAGAAGUGAUUUUGUCCAUCCCAAUCCCUAUCUCGUCAGCGUGCCGUCGAAGCCCACACGCAGCUGCGCUCGCCGUCCGUUUGUUGUCACCUUUUCUUACAAACCCAGGAACGAAAUUACUGGUAAUGACAAGAAAAGGGAGUUCCUUGAGCAGUACGGUCUUAAUCCCGAUGAGUUCUUACCUAAACCAUCUCGGAAGGUAAAGAGGAGAGGAGAGCAACGAAAUCCAGAAGCGAGAAACAAUACACCACUGCAGGAGCCAAAGCCGCCGCGAGAGACACACAAACUGCUUCAGGUACUUGGAGGUACGGCUCGGAGGAAAAAGUUACUCUCACCGAAGAGUAUGGACGUGCGGCCUAUGAUGGAAGUUGUAAAAGGAGCAGCUUUUUCAAUUUUACAGGCAGCGGGUGGCUCGCCUCAGUCUCUGAGGCCCGGGCGCUGGUUAGACUUGUACAGCGGCACAGGAUCCGUUGGUAUUGAAGCUAUCAGUAGAGGAUGUUCUGAGGCUCACUUUGUGGAGAUGGAUCCUUGGGUUAUCUCGGAUGUGCUAAAGCCUAACUUGGAGUCAACUGGAUUCCUUGAGGCUUCGGUUAUACAUACUGCCCGUGUUGAAACCUUCUUGGAAAAUGCACAAAGAUAUCUAGGGAAAGAGGCGGCGUUUGAUUAUAUAAGUGUUACUCCUCCAUACAUGCUUGUAGAUUACACAGUUCUGAUGGAUCAGGUUUCUAAUUCAUCGGUGGUUGGGGAGAAUACAUUUAUAGUAGUUGAGUACCCUUUGAGAACUGACAUGCUGGAUUCGUGUGCGUGCUUGGUAAAGAUAGCUGAUCGGCGGUUUGGCAGGACACAUUUAGCAAUAUACGGACCGCAGUGGGCCCAAAAGAAGAGUAAACUGGAGACAUGACUAUCAUUAUUGCACAAAUGAUUAGAAAUUCGUAUGUACUCUGAUGAUUGCGAUCACGUUGCAGCUGAUCAGUCGACUUGCAAUGCAAGUGCAGCUUAUGCUCCAGGAACUAAGAGAACAAAAGAAAGCACAAGUAUGAUGCUCGAAAACGUGGAAUUUGCAGGCACACUCUUGAAUCUAAGGUGCAUACUCUCGAACUCGUACUCAUGGUUUCAUGCUUGAUCCGAUUCUCUCUUUCGCCACUCAUCUUUGCAAGGGAUAUGAAACUGAAGCCUAUAUCUGUGCACUAUACUCGAGUUUGAAUAUUUGCUUGAUAUACAGCUAAGUUUUAUGUCCCUUGAUUGGAAUAUACGCACUCGAAACACUGUUUAAAUUGCCUCUUGUUCAUUUGAAAUUGGUGUUGGGCCUUUUGAAUAAGAAACAAGAUUGAAGUUGUAGAGAUCUUGCUUUUUAGGACCAUAGAGUGUAGGUAUCCCCUAUUUUUGGACAUGUACGUAGCAGGAUGUAAUAGAGAUGGAAACGCAGUUGUCUUUAGACGCUCCAUUCGCCUUUUUUAGAGUUAAUAGUGUUUUAUGUCCGAACUUUCAGUGCUUUUCAUAAAAUAUCUCCAACUUUCGUUUUCUCCUAAGAAAUCCCGAACUUUCAGUGUUUUUC